GCCACUGUUCAAUAUAAAAGACGCACCGGACGUGGGCUGCAGCAUAUUCUCUUUGUGCUGACACUGCUCAUCCCACCUGAAUAGUCGCGAACAAGAAUGAACUUCAAAAUCCUGCUGUUGCUGCUCCUGGUAGCGCUUGUCGCCACCGUCUCCGCACGUCGAGGCUACUACGGCGGUCGUAGCUUCGGCUACGGCAGAGGCUACGGCGGAGGAUAUCGCAGAGGUUACGGCGGAGGCUACCGUGGAGGCUACGGUCGGGGCUACGGUCGAGGCUACGGAAGAGGCUACGGACGGGGAUAUCAUGGCUGAGGAAUCGCUUCCCACUGACCCGGCAGACCACGACUGAAUUCAUCCGACAAAUCAAUGCACCGUAUCAUGUCUGGAAUGCUUAUACGCAAUAAAGUUAUUGUGGACAUGA